AGUGAACGCUGGCGGUAGGCCUAACACAUGCAAGUCGAACGGCAGCACAGUAAGAGCUUGCUCUUACGGGUGGCGAGUGGCGGACGGGUGAGGAAUACAUCGGAAUCUACUUUUUCGUGGGGGAUAACGUAGGGAAACUUACGCUAAUACCGCAUACGACCUACGGGUGAAAGCAGGGGAUCUUCGGACCUUGCGCGAUUGAAUGAGCCGAUGUCGGAUUAGCUAGUUGGCGGGGUAAAGGCCCACCAAGGCGACGAUCCGUAGCUGGUCUGAGAGGAUGGUCAGCCCCACUUGGACCUGGGCACCGUCCCGGCUCCCUCGGGAGGCAGCAGUGGGGAAUAUUGGACAAUGGGCGCAAGCCUGAUCCAGCCAUACCGCGUGGGUGAAGAAGGCCUUCGGGUUGUAAAGCCCUUUUGUUGGGAAAGAAAAGCAGCAGGUUAAUACCCCGCUGUUCUGACGGUACCCAAAGAAUAAGCACCGGCUAACUUCGUG
rnacentral:rRNA from 1 species